CCAGAGGCUGGGUCUAAUUAGUUGAGAAGCAGUGACACCCCCAACCACUCCCCAAACAGGCUGGCUCCCAUCUCCAGGCCCCAAGGAGCCACACCUGGACCAGACCCCAGGAAAGGCAAGGGCACUAGCUAGUGGGAGCCACCCCUGCUACGCUGAUGCUGGAGAAGCAAGAACUCUGGAGAAGCAGCCUCCUGGGACCAGAGGGGGGCCAGCAGCAGGCAGCUCGGCUACAGAACUGUGAGCCCACCCCACCUCCACCCCUCCGGUACCCACAUCCGCUCCCCACUCCAGCCCACCUGCAGGCAGCUCUUGGAGUAUCCUGGGUCCCUCAGGAUAAACUCCCCACCCUAACCUCAGAAUGACCAAGAAACUGGGCCUCAGGAUGACGAGAGGCAGAAUGGGCCUUGGUAAAGGAAGACCCCCCACUGAUUGGUGGCAGUGCGGGCAGUUCAGGGCUGUCAGGGUCUGGGUUGUAGGUAAAAAGAAAUGGAACCCAAGAAGGGAAAUCCAACUAGGAGCCAAGAAUCCAGUCUACCCCAUCCUCCUUACAAAAUAGCGAUGCAAAGCCUGUGUGAUU
rnacentral:lncRNA from 1 species